AUCCAGCUGACGAGUACCAAAUAGGACGAAACGCGCGUCCAACUGGAU
rfam:Schistosoma mansoni strain Puerto Rico chromosome 1, complete genome